rnacentral:rRNA from 1 species
AUUGAACGCUGGCGGCAGGCCUAACACAUGCAAGUCGAACGGUAACAGGAAGCAGCUUGCUGCUUCGCUGACGAGUGGCGGACGGGUGAGUAAUGUCUGGGAAACUGCCCGAUGGAGGGGGAUAACUACUGGAAACGGUAGCUAAUACCGCAUAACGUCGCAAGACCAAAGAGGGGGACCUUCGGGCCUCCUGCCAUCGGAAGUGCCCAGAUGGGAUUAGCUUGUUGGUGAGGUAACGGCUCACCAAGGCGACGAACCCUAGCUGGUCUGAGAGGAUGACCAGCCACACUGGAACUGAGACACGGUCCAGACUCCUACGGGAGGCAGCAGUGGGGAAUAUUGCACAAUGGGCGCAAGCCUGAUGCAGCCAUGCCGCGUGUAUGAAGAAGGCCUUCGGGUUGUAAAGUACUUUCAGCGGGGAGGAAGGGGAUGUGGUUAAUAACCGCAUUCAUUGACGUUACCCGCAGAAGAAGCACCGGCUAACUCCGUGCCAGCAGCCGCAGUAACAC